GACGAACGCUGGCGGCGUGCCUAAUACAUGCAAGUCGAACGAGAGCGACCGGUGCUUGCACUGGUCAAUCUAGUGGCGAACGGGUGAGUAACACGUGGGUAACCUGCCCAUCAGAGGGGGAUAACAUCCGGAAACGGAUGCUAAAACCGCAUAGGUCUUCGAGCCGCAUGGCUUGAAGAGGAAAAGAGGCGCAAGCUUCUGCUGAUGGAUGGACCCGCGGUGCAUUAGCUAGUUGGUGAGGUAACGGCUCACCAAGGCCGUGAUGCAUAGCCGACCUGAGAGGGUGAUCGGCCACAUGGGGACUGAGACACGGCCCAAACUCCUACGGGAGGCAGCAGUAGGGAAUCUUCCGCAAAGGACGCAAGUCUGACGGAGCAACGCCGCGUGAGUGAAGAAGGUUUUCGGAUCGUAAAACUCUGUUGUUAGAGAAGAACAAGUGCUAGAGUAACUGUUAGCGCCUUGACGGUAUCUAACCAGAAAGCCACGGCUAACUACGUG
rnacentral:rRNA from 1 species